GCCAGUGUGGUGUAGUGGUUAGAGCAUGGAACUAGGACUCUCAGAAGCAGGGUUUGAAUCCCUGCUUGGCCA